CGUGUUUUGUGGGAUUUGCCAGCAGCGUGCAAUCUCCCUGCAUGCGUCAGGUCCACACAUGGCAGUGUCCCUUGUCUCUCUCUGGGUUUGUUUGGUGGUACAUCAGGCCAGUCUCUGGAAGCCUGGAAUUAAGGAUGCAAGCAUGUUCAUGCGCGUGGUGUAGGAUGGAUGGGGAAGGCAAUCGCAGGAGACCUUCCGCUCCCUCCUCCACCUGGGGCUGGGCCCUGAAAACGGAAACCACGUUACCACUAUGCAGAAACCUUCUAGGACCCAAGUAUAUCUGUGAGUAUCUUUUUUUCUUUUUGGCAAAAACAGGAUGAAACUUUAAGUGGUGUUUUGCAGCUCUCUUUGUUUAUGGGGAGAUAAACAUUUCCAUGUCAAUUCAAGUGCCUUUGUUAAAGAAGUGCCUAGUAUCCCCUUGUCUGGCAGUCCUCUCACUCACUUCGGCAGUCCUUUAUCAAUGGACACUUAAAUGUUUCCAAAAUUUUGUCAUUAGACUCUGGACUGAACAUGCUUGUGCUGGCAUCUCUGUAACCUGAUGCAAGCAUCUGUGUUGCAUGAAUUCCUGGAAGUAAAACUGAUGGGCCAAAGGACAUGUGUGUUUUAGAUCUUGAUAAAUAUUGCCAAAUGGCUUUCCAAAAACUGUUCCUAAUGGACAGGGUCCCAGCGGUCAAGCAGGCGCCGUUUCCUC
rnacentral:lncRNA from 1 species